rnacentral:lncRNA from 1 species
GAUCGUAAACUGAUUUGGAAUUUAUGAGUGAUUGGAUGAAUUGAUGAAUUUGUGUAUGAUGGUGGAAUGAUCUGUGAUUGUUGCUGUUAAUGGUUGUUUUGGUGUUUCCUUAGAUGCUUAGUUGUAUAUAGGACCUGUGAACAUCUGCUGGAAAACAUUUUGGGUGAUUGGGGGAUUAAAAUUGGGUUUUUGGAGUGAG